rnacentral:rRNA from 1 species
CCACACUCCUACAGGAGGCAGCACUGGGGAAUAUUGCACAAUGGGCGCAAGCCUGAUGCAGCCAUGCCGCGUGUGUGAAGAAAGCCUUCUGGUUGUAAAGCACUUUCACCGAGGAGGAAAGGUUCUGUGUUAAUAGCACAUUGCAUUGACAUUACUCGCAGAAAAAACACCGGCUAACUCCGUGCCACCAGCCGCGGUAAUACAGAGGGUGCAAGCGUUAAUCGGAAUUACUGGGCGUAAAGCGCACACACGCGGUUUGUUAAAUCAGAUGUGAAAUCCCCCCGCUUAACGUGGGAACUGCAUUUGAAACUGGCAAACUAUAGUCUUGUAUAGGGGGGUAGAAUUCCACGUGUAGCGCUGAAAUGCGUAUAGAUCUGGAGGGAAUACCGGUGGGGAAGGCGGCCCCCUGGACAAAGACUGACGCUCAGGUGCGAAAGCGUGGGGAGCAAACAGGAUUAGAUACCCUGGUAGUCCACGCUUGUAAACAAUAUCUACUUGGAAGUUUUGCCCUUUAGAGGUGCCUUCCCCAAAAAAAACGUUAAAACUACACCUAGGGGGUAACCGCCCCCCAGUUUUAACACCAAUUAAUUUUAGGGGGCCCCCCUAACCAGUGGAGCAUGUGGUUUAAUUCGAUGCAACGCGAAGAACCUUACCUACUCUUGAUUAGGGAGAAUAUCGGUCUGAUAUAGCUUAGUGCCUUCGGGAACUCUGAGACAGGUGCUGCAUGGCUGUCGUCAGCUCGUGUAUGUAAGAUUAGGUGUAUUUAAAAUCACGAUAGACGCAACCCUUAUCCUAUUGGUGUAAAAACAUGUUUGUCAACCAAUAAAACAUAGUACCGGUGAUAAACCGGAGGAAGGUGGGGAUGACGUCAAGUCAUCAUGGCCCUUACGAGUAGGGCUACACACGUGCUACAAUGGCGUAUACAAAGAGAAGCGAACUCGCGAGAGCAAGCGGACCUCAUAAAGUACGUCGUAGUCCGGAUCGGAGUCUGCAACUCGACUCCGUGAAGUCGGAAUCGCUAGUAAUCGUAGAUCAGAAUG